rnacentral:rRNA from 1 species
ACGGGGCGCAGCAGGCGCGAAAACUCCACAAUGUACGGAAGUACGAUGGGGUUAUCUCGAGUGCAGUCCGAUAAGGGCUGCUUUUCCAUAGAGUAAUAUCCUGUGGGAAUAAGAGGGGGGCAAGACUGGUGUCAGCCGCCGCGGUAACACCAGCCCCUCGAGUGGUGGGGACUAUUAUUUGGCCUAAAGCGUCCGUAGCUGGCUGUAUCCGUCUCCCGGUAAAUCCGGCGUCCUAAGCGUCGGUUCUCGGGUGAUACCAUACAGCUAGAGGGUGGGAUAGGUGAGCGGUAUUUCUGGGGUAGGGGCGAAAUCCUUUGAUCCCAGGAGGACCACCAGUGGCGAAGGCUGCUCACUAGAACACGCCUGACGGUCAGGGACGAAAGCUGGGGCAGCGAACCGGAUUAGAUACCCGGGUAGU